rnacentral:rRNA from 1 species
AUACGGAGGAUGCAAGCGUUAUCCGGAUUUAUUGGGUUUAAAGGGUGCGUAGGCGGCGCGUUAAGCGUGAGGUGAAAGCUCGGGGCUCAACCCCGGAACUGCCUCGCGAACUGGCGUGCUGGAAUGCUCCUGCCGUGGGAGGAAUGUGUGGUGUAGCGGUGAAAUGCAUAGAGAUCACACAGAACACCGAUUGCGAAGGCAUCUCACGAAGGGGUUAUUGACGCUGAGGCACGAAAGCGUGGGGAUCAAACAGGAUUAGAUACCCUGGUAGGCCACGCAGUAAACGAUGAUAACUAACCGCUGGGGUGAAAAUUGCAGUGGCCAAGCGAAAGCGAUAAGUUAUCCACCUGGGGAGUACGACCGCAAGGUUGAAACUUAAAGGAAUUGACGGGG